rnacentral:rRNA from 1 species
CCUACGGGAGGCAGCAGUGAGGAAUAUUGGUCAAUGGGCUUACGCCUGAACCAGCCAAGUCGCGUGAGGGAUGACUGCCCUAUGGGUUGUAAACCUCUUUUGUCAGGGAGCAACGCCGGCUACGUGUAGCCGGACUGAGAGUACCUGAGGAAAAGGCAUCGGCUAACCCCGUGCCAGAAGCCGCGGUAUUACGGAGGACGCGACCGUUAUCCGGUUUUUUUGGGUUAAAAGGGUGCGUAGGCGGAUGUCAAAGUCAGCGGUAAAAUCUUGGGGUCCAACCUCGAUCCGCCGUUGAAACGGGCAUUCUUGAGUGCACGAGAAGUAUGCGGAAUGCGUGGUGUAGCGGUGAAAUGCUUAGAUAUCACGCAGAACUCCGAUUGCGACGGCAGCAUACCGACGCCCAACUGACGCUGAAGCACGAAAGCGUGGGUAUCGAACAGGAUUAGAUACCCGUGUAGUC